rnacentral:rRNA from 1 species
UAAAGAGCCGCGGUAUUUUGACCGUGCAAAGGUAGCAUAAUCAUUAGUCUCUUAAUUAGAGGCUGGAAUGAAUGGCUUGACGAGAAAUCAACUGUCUCUUAAUAAAUUUUAAAAUUUAACUUUUGAGUCAAAAGGCUUAAAUUUUUCUUUAGGACGAGAAGACCCUAUAGAGCUUAACAUUUUAUUUAUAUAUAAUUUUAAGAUAGUCUUUUUAUAUUUAAUGAUAUUGUUUUGUUGGGGUGACAUGAAGAAUAAAUAAACUCUUCAUUAUAAAACCAUUAAUUUAUGUUUUUUUUGAUCCAUAAUUUGUGAUCAUAAGAUUAAGUUACCUUAGGGAUAACAGCGUAAUUGUUUUUGAGAGCUCAUAUCGACAAAGCAGAUUGCGACCUCGAUGUUGGAUUAAGAAAAGUUUUGGGGUAGUA